CCUACGGGAGGCAGCAGUGGGGAAUAUUGGACAAUGGGCGAAAGCCUGAUCCAGCAAUGCCGCGUGAGUGAUGAAGGCCUUCGGGUCGUAAAGCUCUUUUACCAGGGAUGAUAAUGACAGUACCUGGAGAAUAAGCUCCGGCUAACUCCGUGCCAGCAGCCGCGGUAAUACGGAGGGAGCUAGCGUUGUUCGGAAUUACUGGGCGUAAAGAGUACGUAGGCGGUUAUUCAAGUCAGAGGUGAAAGCCCGGGGCUCAACCCCGGAACUGCCUUUGAAACUAGAUAACUAGAGUCUUGGAGAGGUUAGUGGAAUUCCGAGUGUAGAGGUGAAAUUCGUAGAUAUUCGGAAGAACACCAGUGGCGAAGGCGACUAACUGGACAAGUACUGACGCUGAGGUACGAAAGCGUGGGGAGCAAACAGGAUUAGAUACCCUGGUAGUCCACGCCGUAAACGAUGAUAACUAGUUGUUCGGUCACUUGGUGACUGAGUGACGCAGCUAACGCAUUAAGUUAUCCGCCUGGGGAGUACGGUCGCGAGAGUAAACUACAAGAAGUAGAGCGUGAGAGUUGCGACGACGACGACGAGGAGGAGG
rnacentral:rRNA from 1 species